GACGAACGCUGGCGGCGUGCUUAACACAUGCAAGUCGAACGGAGUGGAGAACGGGUGAGGAACACGGGGGUGAUCGGCCGUGCACUACGGGAUAAGCUUGGAAAACUGGGGCUAAUACCGGAUAGUGCAAGAUGAGUUCGCGGCCUAUCAGCUUGUUGGGGGGGUAAUGGCCUACCAAGGCGUCGACGGGUAGCCGGCCUGAGAGGGUGUACGGCCCCAUUGGGACUGAGGUACGGCCCAGACUCCUACGGGCGGCAGCAGUGGGGAAUAUUGCACAAUGGGCGGAAGCCAGAUGCAGAGACGCCGCGUGGGGGAUGAACGCCUUCGGGUUGUAAACUCCUUUCGACAGGGACGCGGUACCUGUAUAAGAAGCCCCGGCUAACUACGUGCCAGCAGCCGCGGUAAUAC
rnacentral:rRNA from 1 species